rnacentral:rRNA from 1 species
AACGAACGCUGGCGGCGUGCCUAACACAUGCAAGUCGAACGUGAAAGUCCUUCGGGGCGAGUAAAGUGGCGCACGGGUGAGUAACGCGUAGAUAAUCUGCCUGAUGAUCUGGGAUAACAUCUCGAAAGGGGUGCUAAUACCGGAUAAGCCCACGGAGUCUUCGGAUUCUGCGGGAAAAGGGGGGGACCUUCGGGCCUUCUGUCAUCAGAUGAGUCUGCGUACCAUUAGCUAGUUGGUAGGGUAAAAGCCUACCAAGGCGACGAUGGUUAGCUGGUCUGAGAGGAUGAUCAGCCACACUGGAACUGAGACACGGUCCAGACUCCUACGGGAGGCAGCAGUGGAGAAUUUUGCGCAAUGGGGGAAACCCUGACGCAGCAACGCCGCGUGAGUGAUGAAGGCCUUCGGGUCGUAAAGCUCUGUCAGAGGGAAAGAAAUGUAUUGUGGCUAAUAUCCACGAUACUUGACGGUACCCUCAAAGGAAGCACCGGCUAACUCCGUGCCAGCCGCCGCAGUAA